ensembl:Y_RNA Y_RNA Y RNA
GUCUGAAUGCAGUGAGUUAUCCCAACUGAUCAUUCAGUCAGUUACAGAUUGAACUCCUUGUUCUACUCUUUCCCCCCUUCUUACUACUGCACUUAAC